AGCAACCUGGGUCCGAAUGGGUUGAUCCAUUCGGCCCAAUUUGAGUUCUUCAGGGGCCCAAUUGCCCCAAGAUUAAGCUAAUGGGAUCACCUCCCAUUUGUAACUUAAUCAAUAUGCUAACUACGAUUAUUUCCUAAGACAAAUUCUGCAGCUUGCUCCGGUGCGUCAAUCGCUUCUUCCGGCGAGUUUCCGGCGAACUUCCGUCGAUCAUCCGACGAACCCUCGGUGAUGCUCCUGCGGACUUCCGGCAAACUCCUGGACUUGCGACGAUCCACUUGGCAAGUUCCGACGAGCUCCUUUGGCAAGCUUCUGGACUUCUCGGAUUUGUUCCCGCAGAACCUCCGACGACUGUCCGAACUUCCGUCGAGCUCUCGAACUCCCAACGUGAUCAUUGUCAUGACUCCGGCGCAACUCCUGCUGCAUGUCUUACUUUCAUCAUAGUUAAUCCUGCACACUUAUCUCAACACAUAGAUUGGACAACAAAUGACAAUUGACUUCAUCAUCAAAAUCCGAGAUUCAACAAUCUCCCCCUUUUUGAUGAUGACAAUCAAUUGAUAAUGGAGUUAACCUUAACUCCCCCUGUCUAUAUGCUAUACUUCUUGAAUUUAAAAACUUUAUAAAUUCAAGAGACAUAUUCCCAUCAUGAUUCCUAUCAUGAUGUAUUUCUUUGAAGAUGAUGUCAAGGCUUGACAUUCAUUUUCAAAUAUAACAAGUUUGAAUGAUGGUAGCAAUUCAUCAUAUUGUAAGAUAUCGACAUGUAAAGCUGUGAAGCAAGAUUUUGAUAUCAUUACAUGAUGUACACAUUUCGAAUAUUUUAGCAAGUGUAGCAUUGCAUCACAUGGUAGGAUAUCAGCUCGUACGAUGCAAAUUUUUGUUUGAUAUCUUGAUACAGGGCAUAUAGCAAUGAUAGCAAUCAUAUAUUUCUUGGUGAUGCAAGUAUGACCUAAUCAUAGCAAUGAUAGCAAUCAUAUAUUUCUUGGUGAUGCAAGUAUGGCCUAAUCAUAGCAUCAGUGAUAGUAACAAUCAGUGAUAACAACCAUAUCAACAUCAGUGAUAAUAACAAUCAGUGAUAGCAACCAUAUCAACAUCAGUGAUAGCAACCAUAUCAACAUCAGUGAUAGCAAACAUAUCAAUUCAUAUAUUUC
rnacentral:lncRNA from 1 species